UACGGAGGGAGCUAGCGUUGUUCGGAAUUACUGGGCGUAAAGCGCGCGUAGGCGGCUUUGUAAGUUAGAGGUGAAAGCCCGGGGCUCAACCCCGGAACUGCCUUUAAAACUGCAUCGCUUGAAUCCGGGAGAGGUGAGUGGAAUUCCUGGUGUAGAGGUGAAAUUCGUAGAUAUCAGGAGGAACACCGGUGGCGAAGGCGGCUUUCUGGACGACAACUGACGCUGAGACGCGAAAGCGUGGGGAGCAAACAGG
rnacentral:rRNA from 1 species